rnacentral:rRNA from 1 species
GAUGAACGCUGGCGGCGUGCCUAAUACAUGCAAGUCGAGCGAACGGACGAUAAGCUUGCUUCUCUGAUGUUAGCGGCGGACGGGUGAGUAACACGUGGAUAACCUACCUAUAAGACUUGGAUAACUUCGGGAAACCGUAGCUAAUACCGGAUAAUAUUUUGAACCGCAUGGUUCAAAAGUGAAUGACGGUCUUGCUGUCACUUAUAGAUGGAUCCGCGCUGCAUUAGCUAGUUGGUAAGGUAACGGCUUACCAAGGCAACGAUGCAUAGCCGACCUGAGAGGGUGAUCGGCCACACUGGAACUGAGACACGGUCCAGACUCCUACGGGAGGCAGCAGUAGGGAAUAUUCCGCAAUGGGCGAAAGCCUGACGGAGCAACACCGCGUGAGUGAUGAAGGUCUUCGGAUCGUAAAACUCUGUUAUUAGGGAAGAAAAGAUGUGGAAGUAAAUGUGCACAUCUUGACGGUACCUAAUCAGAAAGCCACGGCUAACUACGUG